AUGGGACAAGUUCCUCAGCCUCCAGGGAGGAGUGAAAGGUGCCCAGCCUCAGGAAGGGCCAAGAGAUAUAAAAAUGUCAAACUCCAGGAGUUUCUACAUGUUCUCAUCAGUGUGGUGAGAGGUGAGCCAAGACUGAUGGCACAGUCCGCCUCAGGUCUGCAUUUAUGUAUAGAGCACAAAAUGGUAGAUGGAUUGAUGGAUAAGAUCAGAAUUCAUAAUAAUGGGAAAGAGAAAUGGAUUGAGAAUCAGAAAGCCUGGGCACUUUUAGCUGAGAAAAAAAGACAAUUGCCUACAUAGAAUCCAGAGUUUCAUCUUCCACUCAAUUCAGUAACUCAAAGGGAGUAAAAAAAUUAAUUUAAGAAGCCUGUGUGUGGCACUCUGUUAUACUGACUUCAGAUUUACCUUAAGCAUUUGUUUCUGAGCCAACAUGAGCAUAUGGACUCCAGUCUCCUCACUGGGUUGUGAGGAUCUUAUCGAGAUGCGUGAUCUACAGGGCACAUCACACAUGAGGUGUUCUGUUUGCAAAUUCACUUCUUCGUGUGGUGAAGCUAUAUUUGAAGCAUACUCACAUAUAACAUGGAGAAGGCAAUGGCAACCCACUCCAGUACUCUUGCCUGGAAAAUCACAUGGACGGUGGGGCCUGGUGGGCUGCAGUCCAUGGGGUCACUAGGAGUCGGACAUGACUGAGCAACUUCACUUUCUCUUUUCACUUUCAUGCAUUGGAGAAGGAAAUGGCAAGCCACUCCAGUGUUCUUGCCUGGAGAAUCCCAGGGAUGGGGGAGCCGUCUAUGGGGUUGCACAGAGUUGGACACGACUGAAGAGACUUAGCAGCAGCAGCGCAUAUAACAUAGAUGUGAGAAUCUUAAUUCCUGUGAAUUUUAAAAAGCUGGCUCUUGAAAUUUUGUGACCUAAUUUGCAAGCAGGGUUCAGUUCAGUCGCUCAGUCAUGUCCGAGUCUGCGACCCCAUGGACUGCAGCACACCAGGCCUCCCUGUCCAUCACCAACUGCCAGAGUUUACUCAAAUUCAUGUCCAUUGAGUCAGUGAUGCCAUCCAACCAUCUCAUCCUCUGUCGUCCCCUUCUCCUGCCUUCAAUCUUUGAAAAGAUUGAAGAGAAAAUCAAAGAAGAGAAACCAUUACAAAGAUAUGUGAAACUAUGAAAAGAUGAUAAACAGAUUCAAAAUUCAUGCCACGUGAAAGACACAGAACUGAAGACCUGCGCCUUGCCUGUACUCCCCCUCCUUUCCCCAGAGAAGAUAUGAGAUGGACUCACUCUUCUCAUCUUUAAA
ensembl:lncRNA